rnacentral:piRNA from 1 species
GAUCGAUGUGGUGCUCCGGAGUUCUCUU